rnacentral:SRP_RNA from 1 species
ACCGGGCGCAGUGGCGUGUACCUGUAGUCCCAGCUACUCGGGAGGCUGAGGUGGGAGGAUCAUUUGAGCCCAGGAGUUCUGGGCUGUAGUGCGCUAUGCUGAUCCGGUAUCCACACUAAGUUCGACAUCAGUAUGGUGACCUCCCAGGAAUGGGGGACCACCAGGUUGUCUAAGGAGGGAUGAACCAGCCCAGGUCAGAAAUGGAGCAGGGCAAAACUCCCGCGCUGAUCAGUAGUGGGAUCGUGCCUGUGACUAGCCACUGCACCCCAGGCUGGGCAACACAGUGAGACCCCGACUCA